rnacentral:lncRNA from 1 species
CAAACAGUCACAAUCCAUCAUUAAAUCAUCUAUCUAACACAAUGAUAAAAUUUUUAAACCAAACAAUUAAAAAGUCCAUAAUGUCCAAUUACAACCUAAUAAUUAUAAGUAAGUCUACCUUCCUCAUUAGGUUUGGGAACACAAACAACAUACCUAGGUAUAGACUCAAUUGGGAUCACUUGGAUGGCUCACUUUCCCAUCUUUUUACAAGCUAAAUCACUGAAAUGUUUUAAAAGGGAGCGUGAGCUUGUUGAAGCUCAGUGGUGCUCAAAC